UUGCAGGUUGGAGAAGACCGCUCGCGACCAGGACCUCUUCCUUUUGUAUGUCUGUGGUAUCGUGUCUUUUGUGAGGACAGCAUACGGACCUGUAUAAAUAAAGGGACAUAAAGCCUAUGUGCUGACGGCUACACUACCUGGGAAGGUGUCCUGAAACUGAUGCUGCCCUGAUUGCCUGGCGCCGUUUAGUGAGCUCAUCGUGGAGGACGUGUCGCUCAUCGCUGGGUCUAUGGAUGCGAAGUACUGGUUCGCCGAGGGCUGCACCGGCAUGUGGAUCCCUGACUGACGAUUCGAGCUAACAAUGGACGUGAGAUCUGUCACAGGGCGAGAGAUAAAUAAGUAAGAAAUUACCGCAACGUAUGAAAUACGAGUAUUUGUCAAUGGUAAAACUUUUCACCUAAAAAUGA